rnacentral:rRNA from 1 species
AUAAGCGCCGGUAAGGUGAUAUGAACCGUUAUAACCGGCGAUACCCGAAUGGGGAAACCCAGUGUGAUUCGUCACACUAUCAUUAACUGAAUCCAUAGGUUAAUGAGGCGAACCGGGGGAACUGAAACAUCUAAGUACCCCGAGGAAAAGAAAUCAACCGAGAUUCCCCCAGUAGCGGCGAGCGAACGGGGAGGAGCCCAGAGCCUGAAUCAGCAUGUGUGUUAGUGGAAGCGUCUGGAAAGGCGCGCGAUACAGGGUGACAGCCCCGUACACAAAAGCGCAUGUGCUGUGAGCUCGAUGAGUAGGGCGGGACACGUGGUAUCCUGUCUGAAUAUGGGGGGACCAUCCUCCAAGGCUAAAUACUCCUGACUGACCGAUAGUGAACCAGUACCGUGAGGGAAAGGCGAAAAGAACCCCGGCGAGGGGAGUGAAAAAGAACCUGAAACCGUGUACGUACAAGCAGUGGGAGCACCCUUUGGGUGUGACUGCGUACCUUUUGUAUAAUGGGUCAGCGACUUAUAUUC